rnacentral:rRNA from 1 species
UAGGGAAUUUUGCACAAUGGACGCAAGUCUGAUGCAGCAACACUGCGUGAAGGAUGAAGGUUUUCGGAUCGUAAACUUCUUUUAUCUGGGAAUAAUCUUGAAGGUACCAGAUGAAUAAGCACCGGCUAACUACGUGCCAGCAGCCGCGGUAAUACGUAGGGUGCAAACAUUAUCCGGAUUUAUUGGGCGUAAAGAGCCCGUAGGUGGUUUUGUAAGUUGGAUAUGAAAGACCCGGGCCCAACCCGGGGAACGUACCCAAAACUGCAAGACUCGAGGUAUGCAGGGGAAGAUGGAACACACAGUGUAGCAGUGAAAUGCGUAGAUAUUGUGUGGAACGCCAAUGGUGAAGACAGUCUUCUGGGCAUUACCUGACACUGAGGAGCGAAAGCGUGGGGAGCAAACGGG